UAGGGAAUCUUCCACAAUGGGCGAAAGCCUGAUGGAGCAACGCCGCGUGUGUGAUGAAGGGUUUCGGCUCGUAAAACACUGUUGUAAGAGAAGAAUGACAUUGAGAGUAACUGUUCAAUGUGUGACGGUAUCUUACCAGAAAGGAACGGCUAACUACGUACCAG
rnacentral:rRNA from 1 species